AUACGGAGGGUGCAAACGUUAAUCGGAAUUACUGGGCGUAAAGCGCGCGUAGGCGGCUUUGUAAGUCGGAUGUGAAAGCCCUGGGCUCAACCUGGGAAUGGCAUUCGAAACUGCAUGGCUAGAGUAUGGUAGAGGGAAGUGGAAUUUCCGGUGUAGCGGUGGAAUGCGUAGAUAUCAGGAGGAACACCGAUGGCGAAGGCAGUCAUCUGGGCCAAUACUGACGCUGAGGAGCGAAAGCGUGGGGAGCAAACAGGAUUAGAUACCCCGGUAGUCC
rnacentral:rRNA from 1 species